rnacentral:rRNA from 1 species
AUUGAACGCUGGCGGCAGGCCUAACACAUGCAAGUCGAGCGGUAGCACAGAGAGCUUGCUCUCGGGUGACGAGCGGCGGACGGGUGAGUAAUGUCUGGGAAACUGCCUGAUGGAGGGGGAUAACUACUGGAAACGGUAGCUAAUACCGCAUAACGUCGCAAGACCAAAGUGGGGGACCUUCGGGCCUCAUGCCAUCAGAUGUGCCCAGAUGGGAUUAGCUGGUAGGUGGGGUAACGGCUCACCUAGGCGACGAUCCCUAGCUGGUUUGAGAGGAUGACCAGCCCCCCUGGAACUGAGACACGGUCCAGACUCCUACGGGAGGCAGCAGUGGGGAAUAUUGCCCAAUGGGCGCAAGCCUGAUGCAGCCCUGCCGCGUGUAUGAAGAAGGCCUUCGGGUUGUAAAGUACUUUCAGCGGGGAGGAAGGCGAUAAGGUUAAUAACCUUGUCGAUUGACGUUACCCGCAGAAGAAGCACCGGCUAACUCCGUGCCCGCC